rnacentral:rRNA from 1 species
AUUGAACGCUGGCGGAAUGCUUUACACAUGCAAGUCGAACGGCAGCACGGACUUCGGUCUGGUGGCGAGUGGCGAACGGGUGAGUAAUGUAUCGGAACGUGCCCAGUCGUGGGGGAUAACGUAGUGAAAAUUACGCUAAUACCGCAUACGAUCUAUGGAUGAAAGCGGGGGAUCGCAAGACCUCGCGCGAUUGGAGCGGCCGAUAUCAGAUUAGGUAGUUGGUGGGGUAAAGGCUCACCAAGCCAACGAUCUGUAGCUGGUCUGAGAGGACGACCAGCCACACUGGAACUGAGACACGGUCCAGACUCCUACGGGAGGCAGCAGUGGGGAAUUUUGGACAAUGGACGCAAGUCUGAUCCAGCCAUUCCGCGUGCGGGAUGAAGGCCCUCGGGUUGUAAACUGCUUUUGUACAGAACGAAAAGGUUUCUACUAAUACUAGGAGCUCAUGACGGUACCGUAAGAAUAAGCACCGGCUAACUACGUGCCAGCAGCCGCAGUAA